rnacentral:misc_RNA from 1 species
GGUAGUAAAAGUCGUAACAAGGUUUCCGUAGGUGAACCUGCGGAAGGAUCAUUAUUGUAUAACCGAGGUGCGAGGGCUGUCGCUGACCCGAAAGGUCGUGCACGCCCGAGUGCCCUCACACACAUCCAUCUCACCCCUAUGUGCACCACCGCGUGGGUCCCCCUUUGGCUUGUUCGGAGGGGGGCUUACGUUUUCACACAAACUUUGUAUGCAGUGUAGAACGUAUUUUUUGUUUUUGCGAUCACGCAAUCAAUACAACUUUCAACAACGGAUCUCUUGGCUCUC